CUUAAAAUAAGACAACAAUGAAGUUUGCUGCAUCGAUGGAUUGUUCCUUUCAUGAAAGAGUUCUCUGUGGUGGGCAAUGCUGUUUGAUAGCCUUUUACCCGCAGUGGAACUUCUUUCAAAACUGAAGUCAGUCCUGUCGAUUUCUGUAGCUGCGUUGUCAGCUGGGUUUGUGAAAUACUCUAAAUCCUUUGCUGUCAUUUCAACGAUGUUUACAUCGUCUUCACCAGGAGUGGAUUCCAACUCAAGAGACCACUUUCUCUGCUCAUCCAUAAAAAACAACUUCUCAUUCAUUCAAGGAUUAUCCUGAGACUGCAGCAAUUCAGUCCCUCUUCAGGCUCCACUUCCAAUUCUAGUUCUCUUGCUGUUUCCACCAUGUCUGCAGUGACGUCCUCCACGGAAGUCUUGAACCCCUCAAAGCUAUCCCUGAGGGUUGGAAUCAACUUCUUCCAAACUAAUGUUCAUGUUGAUAUUUUGACUUCUGCCCCCGAAUCACAAAUGUUCUUAAUGGCAUCUAGAAUGGUGAACCCUACGCAGAAGUUUUUCAAUGGACUUUGCCCAGAUCCAUCAGAGGAAUCACUUUCUAUGGCACCUAUAACUUUACAACAUGUAUUUCUUAAAUAAUAGGGCUUGAAAGUCAAAAUUACUCCUUCAUCUAUGGGCUGCAGAAUGGAUGUUGUGUCAACAGGCAUGAAAACAUUCAUCUCCUUGUACGUCUCCAUCAGAGCUCCUGGGUGGCCAGGCGCAUUGUCCAUGAGCAGUACAGUUUUUAGUUUUGGGGUGUUUUUUUUUGAGACAGAGUCUCAGUCUGCUGCCCAGGCUGGAGUGCAGUGGUGCAAUCUCAGCUCACUGCAACCUCCACCUCCUAGGUUCAAGCGAUUCUCCUGCCUCAUCUUCCUGAGUAGCUGGGACUACAGAUGCGUGCCAGGCUGGUCUCAAACUCCUGACCUCAGGUGAUCCACUUGCCUCGGCCUCCCAAAGUGUUGAGAUUACAGGCUUGAGCCACCGUGCCCGGCUUGAGCAGUACAGUUUUAAAGAAACCUUUUUCUGAGCAGUAGAUCUCAACUGUGGGUUUAAAAUAUUCCAUAAAUCAUGCUGUAAACAGACAUGCUGCCAUUCUGGCUUUGUUCUUCCAUCCAUAGAGCACAGGAAGAGCAGCUACUGCAUAAUUCUUAGGACCUAGGAUUUUCAGAAUGGUAGGUGAACAUCGGCUUCACCUUAAAAUCACCAGCUGCAUUAGCCCCUAACAAGAGAGCCAGCCUGUCCUUUGAAGCUUUGAGGCGAGGCAUGACUUUUUCUCUCUUGCUGUGAAAGUCUCAGGCGGCCUCUUCUUCCAGUAGGAGGCUGUUACACCUGCAAUAAAAAUCUUUUGUUCAGUGGAGUCACCUUCAUCAAGGAUCUUGGCUGGAUCUUCUGGGGAACUUGCUGCAGCUUCUCCAUCAGCACCUGCUGCUUCACCUUGCACUUAUGCUCUGGAGAUGGAUUCUUUCCUUAAACCUCACAAACAAACCUCUGGUCACUUCCAACUUUUCUUCGACAGCUUUCUCCCUCUCUCAGCCUUCAUGGAAUUGAAGAGAAUCAGAGUCUUGCUCUGGAUUAGGCUUUGGCUUCAGGGAAUGUUGUGGUUGGUUUGAUCUUCUCUCCAGACCACUCAAACAAUAACGCUGUUUUGCUUUCUUAUCAUUCGUGAGUUCAGGGAGGCGUAUUUCAAGAAGUUUCCCUUCACAUUCACAAUGUGGAUAACCGUUUGGCAUAAGAGUUUUUGGUCUACCCUGGCUUUCAACGUUCCUUCCUCACUCAGCUUAAUCAUUUCUAGCUUUUGAUUUAAAGUGAGAGAUGUGUGACUCUUCCUUUCACUUGAACACUUAGAGGCCAUGGUGGGGUUAUUCAUGGGCCUCACACCAAUACUGCUGCAUCUCAGGGAAGAGAAGAGGACAGGGAGAGAGGUGUGGGAAUGGCUGGUCUGUGGAGCAGUCAAAACACACACAUUUAUCAAUUAAGUUCACCGUCUUAUGUGGUCAUAGUACAUGGUGUCCCAAAACAGUUACACUAAUAAUAUCCAAGAUCACUGACUGCGAUAAAAAAUGUAAUAAUAAGACCAGAUGUGGUGGUUCAUGCCUGUAAUCCCAGCACUUUGGGAGGCUAAGACAGGAGGAUCACUUGAGCCCAAGAGUUUGAGACCAAUUUAGGCAAUAGAGAUCUCAUUUCUACAAAUUUUUUAAAAAAUUAACUGGGUGUGAUGGUGGCCCCUGUAAUCUUAGCUCCUUGGGAGGCUGAGGUGGGAGGAUCGCUUGGGUCUGGGAGACUGAGGCUGCAGCGAGCGUGAUUGCACCCACUACACUCCAGCCUGAGGAACAGAGUGAGACCCUGUGUUGGGAUAAUCACCAGAAUGGGACAGAGAUGCAAAGUGAGUACGUGCUGGUGGAAAACUGGCACCAAUAGGCUUGCUCGACACAGGGUUCCCACCAACCUUCAAUUUGUCAAAUAGGCAACAACUGCAAAGCACAGUAGAGUGGAGCUCAAUAGGACACGGCACAGCUCAGGGGCCCUGGGUGUGCUCUGCCAUGCUCAGGCUGGGGAGCCAGGGGAGGACUCUGUGUGAUGGGCAUUGGCACUGGGAGACACGCGGAGGAGACAGGACGUGACCUCACCCUGGCAAGAAGGUUGGACAAGGCACAGGCCGGCCUCCCAGUGAAAAUAACAGACAGAAGCCAGGAGGAAGAACCACUCAGGAUUGGGAAGAGCCGUUAAAUAAGUUACACACAAAGAAGAUAAGAACAGGACUCUAUCUUAAUGCUAGAAGAAGAAUAUGAAGAAGAGGGAGGAGGAAGAGAAGAAGAAGAAGAAAAAGAAGGAGGCUGGGAUUACAUGCCUGUAAUCCCAGCACGUUGGGAGGCUGAGGUGGGCAGACCACCUGAGGUCAAGAGUUCGAGACCAGCCCGCCCUGCCAAUAUGGCAAAACUCCAUCUCUACUAGAAAUACAAAAAUUAGCUGGGCAUGGUUGUGGGCACCUGUAAUCCCAGCUACUUGGGAGGCUGAGGCAGGAGAAUCACUUGAACUCGGGAGGCUGAGAUUGCAGUGAGCUGAGAUCGUGCCACUGCACUCCAGCCUGGGCGACAGAGUGAGACUCAGUCAAAAAAAAAAAAAAAAAAAAAAAAGAAGAAGAAGAAGGAGAAGAAAAGGAAGGAGAAAAAGUAGCUCUGAUAAGCCAUGGAGAGCCACUAAAGGUGUCUGGAGAAGGAUUUCUGCUUUCAUAAAAAAUGGAGUAAAAGAGCCCAGAUAUACUCUCCACAGGAAACAAACCCAAAUGGGUAAAAUAUAUAAAACCCAACCCAAAAUGGGCAAACUAUAUGAAACAAUGUGUUAUUCUGAGACUGUUAUUAAGAUAACAAAAGACAGUGAUUCCUGAGCAGGGGAAAGCAGGGUAGGUGAACCCAGGGACUGUCCUGAUUAUUACCUAGAGGCAGUACACAGACAGGGCCAGUGGACAUCCGGAGUGGAGGAGACAUUACUGAGAGUUUAGGGAGAUCAAAGCAGACAGCGUUCAAAGCUUGGGGUGCGAUGGAGGGGAGGCCUUCCGAGAGAAAGAAUGACACGGGUCUGCAGAGGGUCUCCCUCAAAUAUUCCUGAGUGUUUAUCAGCAUAGGCACGUGAGGAAAGUGCCUGAAGCCAGGAAGAAAACUGCUGGGCAGGACACGUCUGUGCUCACACCGAGCUAUGAAUGAUGCCUGCUCCCCACAGACAGACCAACCAACCAACAAAACUAGGACUUGUGGGCAUCCAGCAGGGUGCACAGAAGGGCCCGCCCCUGUCAUGGAAAUAGACUGAGCAUUGCUUCGGUUCUGCUGAACAAAUCCUAAAAGCAAGCUCCAAGAAGAUGAACCUGUUUCUGUGUAACUUAACUACAUCCCAAAACAAAGCUCAAAUAUAUACAUACAUAUAUGGGUGUGUGUGUAUAUAUCUAUAUAUACAGAGUCUCACUCUGUUGCCCAGGCUGGAGUGCAAAGGCACAAUCUUGGCUCACUGCAACCUCCACCUCCUGGGUUCAAGUGAUUCUCAUGCCUCAGCCUCCUAAAUAGCUGGGAUUACAGGCGCCCACCACACCUGGCUAAUUUUUUUUUUUGUAUUUUUAGUAGAGAUGGGGUUUGGCUAUGGUGGCCAGACUGGUCUUGAACUCCUGACCUCAGGUGAUCCAUCCACCUCAGCCUCCCAAAGUGCUGGGAUUACAGGCAUGAGCCACUGUGCUCGGCCCAAAGCUCAAUAUAUUUAGGAGCAUGAAAAUAUCCAUCACCCAACAAGGUACAAUUUACAAUAUCUGGCAUCCAGUAAAAAAUUACCAGGCAUGCAGGAAAACAGGAUCCAUAAUGAGGAGAAAAAUCAAUCAACUGAAAUUAUCCUGAAAAGGCACAAUUUUGGACUCCCAGUAAAGGAUAUUAAAAGGCCAUUUUGUAAUGAGAAAAGGGUUAUUGCAUCAAGAGGACAUAACACUUUUAAACAUUUAUGCACGUAACAACAGAACUGAGCUUCAAAAUUCAUGAAGCAAAGACUGAUAGAACUGCUGGGAGGAACAGAAAAAUCCGCAGUUGUAAUUAGAGAUUUAAAUAUGCCUGUUUCAAUAAUAUAUAGAAAAAGUCGACAGAAAAUCAGUAAAGAUACAGAAAAUUUAAGCAACACUAUCAACCAACUUGACCUAAUGGAAAUUUAUGGAAUGCUCCACCAAAUAACAGCAGAAUACACAUGACUUUUAAGUCCACAUGGAAUAUUAACCAAGGAAGACCAUAUUUUUGGUUAUAAAACAAGUCUCAAUAAGUUUAAAAGGAUUUCAAGUCUUAUAAAGUAUGUGUUCUUACCACAAUGGAGUUAAAUUAGAAAUUAAUAACAGAAUGAUCUUUAGACAAUCUCCCAAUGUUUGGAAACUAAGUAACAUUUCUAAAUGACCCAUGGAUCAAAGAAUAAAUCAAAAGAUAUCUUAAGAAGUAUUUUGGACUGAAUAUGAAAUACAAAAAAAAAGAACUAAAAUACAAACAUUAAAAUAUAUCAUCAUGUAUGAGAUGUUAUCAAAAGGGUAAUUAGGGGAGAAUUUAUAUCUCUAAAGGCCAAUAUUAGAAAAAAAAAUCUCAAAUCAACGAUCUUCAUUUCCACCUUCCAAAAUUAGAAAAAGUAAAGAGGGGAAAAAAAACAAUAAAGAUCAGAGUGGAAAUCACUGAAAUAGAUGAAAACAGAAAAACAGUUGAGAAAAUAACUGAAACAAAAAGUUCAUUCUUUGUGAAGGCAAAUGCAAUUGAUAAGCCUCUAGCCACACAGCUCAGGAAAAAAAGAGAAAAGAUAUAAAUUACUGCUAUGAGAGUUGGAAGAGGAAUCAUUGCAGGUGCUCCAAAUAUGAAAGGGAUAAUGAGGCAAUAUCAUGAACAACUUUAUGGCAAUAAAUUCAACAACUCAGAGGAAAUUGAAAAAUUCUUCACAAACACAACAUACCAAAACUCACUCGAGAAGACAUAGGUAAUAUGAAUAUCCCUAUAGCUAGUAAAGACAUUUCAGAUAAGGAAAACAAAAACAAAAACAAAAACCAAACUUUAAACUUUCCCACAAAGAAAACCCAAGGCCCAAAUGGCUUUGCUGGUGAAUUCUCCAAUCCUUCCAAACAUUUAAAAAAGAAGUAAGGCCAGGCAUGAGCCACCGCACCCAGCUAAACUAGGCCACUUCUGAGAACAAGGCAAUAGAUGACCACUGAGGCUGCCCUGGCAAACUGACCGAAGGUCAUCUCAUCUGGCCGAGGCCCCUGCUCCCAUCGGUCCCCACAGGACAUUCGGGACUCACCGUGGGCCACACCUCACUCCUGCAUCCUGGACCCCACACCUUCAUGGAACCUGCUCUCCCAUCCCCACUUCCUGGGCCUUCUAGAUUGGUGGUGGGCACUGGGCACCCUCCCCCGAUCCCCCUACCAUGAUUCCAGCAGGGAGUGUGUGUCCCGCAGGGCCUCUUCGAGUUCCUGCCAUUCCUGGUCCUCAGCAAAUCUUUGGCAGAAGAGUAAAUGAAUCGUCACAGACCUUGUUGGAUACAAAGUUGCUGUGGUCAGUGUGAAGUCUCACGUUUCAGCGAAUUUUCCUGGCAUGGGCAUUUGUGGCACAGAAGCCGGGUGGUCACCCGAGCACCCCCAAAGGCUGCAGCACACGUUCCGGUGGUGGGGGCUGUGGGGGCCUGCACGGGAGGAUCCUGGGGAAAGUGCUGGCCUUGUCUGCUCAGCUCUGAAUGUAGACACAGCAGCUUCUCCACGGGAGACUCACUGCUUCCUUCCCCAAGGUCUCACUCUCAGACUGAAUUAACACGUUGAAGGGUUCCCGUCUCAGCUUUUCCCCAAGGCAUGCCUUUCAAAGAAUGUUCCCUGAGUUGUGAAUGGCAGCAGAGCCCUUUUUAAGUAGAAGGUUAUUUUACUUCGGUAUCUACUGGUGAUUCCCAGCUUAAAACUAAACAGCUGGGGAAUCCUCCAUGAAACCUGUAGAGUUUCCAUGGCAACCUUUGUCCUAGAAAGGCAGGCCAGGGACCUGCCAUUCUGCAGCCCCACCUCGC
rnacentral:lncRNA from 1 species